rnacentral:lncRNA from 10 species
GCUUCCUGUGCUCUCCUGGACACUGUGGGCCUGGGGCAGGCCCUCAACAGAAUUCCACUCUGGGUCCAGGGCAGAGGGGCGGGAGGGGUGCAGUGGAGCACCGGUUGUGACCCGUGAUGUCCACUAGGUGUCGCCCGCGUUCUGGAAAAGCUGUCAGCGACGCCCCACAGGUCCGAGGAACCCGGAAAGGAGCCGGGAGGGGCAUGGGUGUCCCGAGGGGGUAGGCGGACCUAGGUCUGGGCAGAGAUGGCAGCCCCAGGACAGGGAGGAGCACUAACAGCGCCGUCCUCACGCUUUAGCGUGGAAGACCUCAGUCCCCCGGAUGGAGUCUUCAUGGGUCCCCAGGGGAGGAGAUCCCCAGGCGGUAGAAGGGCCCCCUCCUCACAAAAUGUGACCCCCUGCUCCUCCUCUCCACGCCAGGGAGACCCCAGCUGCACCACCCCAGCUGCAUCCAUCCCCUUUUGGCACCUUUGGGACUGCCACACAGACCUGGGUCCUCACCCCUGUGCUCCCGGCCACACCACUUGGCACCGCGUGUCAAGGGUCGCCUGUGAAAGCUUCCCCAUAUAACACAGGGGUACCGGCUGAUGUCCCCAGGGAAGCCCACAGCUUUAGGGAGCAUGAGAAACAGCCGCUCUGGGCCAGGCGCGGUGGCUCACGCCUGUAAUCCCAGCACUUUGGGAGGCCGAGGCGGGCGGAUCACGAGGUCAAGAGAUCGAGACCAUCCUGGCUAACAUGGUGAAACCCCGUCUCUACUAAAAAUACAAAAAAUUAGCCGGGCGUGGUGGCGGGCGCCUAUAGUCCCAGCUACUCGGGAGGCUGAGGCAGGAGAAUGGCGUGUACCCGGGAGGCGGAGCUUGCAGUGAGCCGAGAUGGCGCCACUGCACUCCAGCCUGGGUGACAGAGUGAGACUCCGUCUCAAAAAAAAAAAAAAGAAAAGAAAAGGAAAAGAAACAGCCGCUCUGGUCCCUGCAGGGGAGGCAACGGAUGCCCAUACAGGAAGGAGCCUGAGUCGGGAAGGGGCCAGGACCCAGCUGCCCUGCGGGACCCUCAUGGCCCCACGGUCACUCACUUUCACUCUGAAGAAAUAUCCAGCCUCCAUACUAACGAUCUCGACUGUAAUAAUCUCCUGCUUUCCCCUCCCCACCCCACUCAGCUCACAAAGCCCUUUCCUCCCCACUGUCUCAGUGGCUGUCACAACAAGCCUGGGACCCUUCACUGCAGAAAUGUAGUCCCAUUUCACAGAUGGGCCCACCAAGGCUCAACAGAUGUCAGCGGCAGAGCUGGAAGGAGAACUGGAUGGGCCGGCAUCAGGACCUCGGUCUCUCCUCCCACUGCCCCAGGUGCCCACAUCAUAAUUCAGGAGCUGCAAGGAGCAGGGAUUAAAAGUCAGAUGCAGCCAGGAGUGGUGGCUCACAC